AACCAGAGAUUUCACAAAUCCAUAUGAAAACACCAAUAUCAUGGGAAGGAAAAUGGACACAAGAUAUGGGAGGACCAACAGAUAACAUAGGAACCAAUGGGCAACCAGUGAUUUCACAGAUCCAAUUUAAGCAGCCUAUAAAAUGGGAAG